GUUUGAUCAUGGCUCAGGACGAACGCUGGCGGCGUGCCUAACACAUGCAAGUCGAGCGGGAUCCAUCCAGUGGCAACACUGGGGAAGAUCUAGCGGCGAACGGGUGAGUAACACGUGAGAAACUUGCCCCGGAGUUCGGGAUAACUCGAGGAAACUCGAGCUAAUACCGAAUGCCCUCUUCUGAUCGCAUGGUCGGAUGAGGAAAGAUUUAUCGCCCCGGGAGAGUCUCGCGGCCUAUCAGCUAGUUGGCGGGGUAACGGCCCACCAAGGCAUCGACGGGUAGCUGGUCUGAGAGGACGAUCAGCCACACUGGGACUGAGACACGGCCCAGACUCCUACGGGAGGCAGCAGUGGGGAAUCUUGCGCAAUGGGCGAAAGCCUGACGCAGCAACGCCGCGUGCGGGAUGAAGGCCUUCGGGUUGUAAACCGCUUUCAGCAGGGAAGAAAUUGACGGUACCUGCAGAAGAAGCCCCGGCCAACUACGUGCCAGCAGCCGCGGUAACACGUAGGGGGCGAGCGUUGUCCGGAUUUAUUGGGCGUAAAGAGCUCGUAGGCGGUUCACUAAGUCGGGUGUGAAACCUCCAGGCUCAACCUGGAGACGCCACCUGAUACUGGUGUGACUAGAGUCCGGUAGGGGAGUGUGGAACUCCUGGUGUAGCGGUGAAAUGCGCAGAUAUCAGGAAGAACACCAGCGGCGAAGGCGGCACUCUGGGCCGGUACUGACGCUGAGGAGCGAAAGCGUGGGUAGCAAACAGGAUUAGAUACCCUGGUAGUCCACGCCGUAAACGUUGGGCACUAGGGUGUGGGUCUCAACCAACGAGAUCCGUGCCGCAGCUAACGCAUUAAGUGCCCCGCCUGGGGAGUACGGGCACAAGGCUAA
rnacentral:rRNA from 1 species